rnacentral:rRNA from 1 species
AGGCAGCAGUGAGGAUAUUGGUCAAUGGGCGCAGGCCUGAACCAGCCAAGUAGCGUGAAGGAUGACUGCCCUAUGGGUUGUAAACUUCUUUUAUAAAGGAAUAAAGUCGGGUAUGUAUACCCGUUUGCAUGUACUUUAUGAAUAAGGAUCGGCUAACUCCGUGCCAGCAGCCGCGGUAAUACGGAGGAUCCGAGCGUUAUCCGGAUUUAUUGGGUUUAAAGGGAGCGUAGAUGGAUGUUUAAGUCAGUUGUGAAAGUUUGCGGCUCAACCGUAAAAUUGCAGUUGAUACUGGAUAUCUUGAGUGCAGUUGAGGCAGGCGGAAUUCGUGGUGUAGCGGUGAAAUGCUUAGAUAUCACGA